AAUCUCUGAUGUGUGUUUUGGGUCUGCAGGUCUGGAGAGAAGAUCUCCUGUGUGGUCGAACACGCCAGCCUGAAGAAACCUCUGGUUACUGACUGGGACCCGUCCAUGCCUGAGUCUGAGAGGAACAAGAUCGCCAUCGGGGCGUCAGGACUGAUCCUGGGUCUGGUCUUGUCUCUGGCUGGAUUCAUCUACUACAAGAGGAAGGCCCGAGGAAGGAUUCUGGUUCCCAGUAACUGAUCCUGGACCUGAAGCUGUUUGUCAGACGGAAUAAAAAUCAGCUGCUGCUUCAACCUGCUUCAUGACUGUCAACGCUGCAACACCUGAUCCUCCGAGGGCACAGAGCUGGACUCACCUGAUCCAGGACCCAGGGAGUCACAGUCCUGGA